ACCUUGAAAAAGUAGCUGUAAAACCUCCAUUUUACAGACCAAUUGGCUGAGGUUUAAAUGGAGGACACUCCCAGGGCCCCAGAGGGGUGAAUUCCAGACUCCUUUGCCAGGACCUUGUACUAAGCCCCUUCCCUACGCUUUUCCCUGCCUAGGCCUCGUGGGCUGUGCGGCUCUCCUGGAGACAGAUGACAGCUCUCCCUUGGAUGGCUUUGCUAGUUUCGCACCAGCCAGCGCCCCAUUUUUCCUGCAGCACCCUGAUCCGCACUCCCUGAGGGGCUCCCACUGUCCGCGGUGUGAGGAUGUCCCUGGAUAGUCCACUGUGUGCAGAGGCAUGGGAGUUGUCAUGUCGAUAACAUGCUAGACCUCAGUGUCCUUGAGGGAUGCCGCCUUGGGUCUGGAGACUGUUAGAGGAAACCCCAAGAGGUGCAAGCACUGAGCCUCUCAGGACAAUGACCUGGGAUUCCACCUCCCCUGGAGGGGCCUCCUCAUGAUUGUUUGGGGGUUGAUCACAGACCAAGAGUGAUGAGUGAUGUCACCCUGUGAUGCAUGGCUGGACCUUCUUGCCCCUAUUGUCUCAGCACAACAUUAAUCGACUUUUCCCUCAGCGUGGGUGGGCAGAGGAAAAGCCCUGUGGCUCUGGGGACUUGGGAUCCAGAGUUGAAGACCCUUCAGCUGGCUCUGCCCUGCCAGUGCCACAGAGUGCCAUGGCCCAGGAAGACUGGUUUUCUUCCAUCUAGGCCAGGCCAUCCAGUGGCCAUCCUUCGUGUCCUCCCACCUCCUUCUGGUGUGACUUCUGAAAACCAAGAAUUUGUUCCUGUUGACUUUUUCUGUGCUAUGGACCAUUGUCCUCUGACCCACUCAAUAAAUCUUGAAACAUGC
rnacentral:lncRNA from 1 species